CCAGGUGCAGAGCCUCAUCUGACUUAAGAGUGCAUCCUAUUCUCAUUACAGAUUUCAACGCCAGUAACCAGCUGGGAAAUCAGCAUCCGCUCCAUAGAACAAAAAGACAAAGACCUAGAUGUCCAUCUUCCUUCAGGUUCUGUCUGCUUUUUGCAAUGAAAGGCUGAGGCUAAACCUCAGUGCGUGCUACUUCCUGCACCGACUA